rnacentral:lncRNA from 1 species
GAGUGCAGUCGCCGCCUGUCCCGAGACCUGGGCGUCUGUGCAGGGGCCCCCAGCUCCUGAGCCUGGGUCAGCGGCAGCGCUCCUGGACGAAGGCCUCAGGCUGAGCACCUGAGGAGGCGUGGGGGCGGGGGCGGGGAGAUACGGUCCAGCGUCCCAAUCUACCCGCGUCCACGGGAGUAGCAAGGGCACCCACGUUCCCUUGUCCCGCCGGGAACUUCCGUGCGACUGUUGUUUAAAAAUGAGGAAAGCUUUUUAUCAGUUUCUCGUGUUUCUGCUGCUUAGCCUGGCAGGCUCUCACGAACGAAACCCUGUUAAUUAAUGGUCGUUAAUUACACUCCAUUCCACAAACACUGAACUUAAUUACGGAUUUCCAGAAAGCCAGCAUAGCCUCUUGCAAGUGAGGUAUGUAAAGCUUAACUUAGUAGUCAAAGAAAGGAUUCGCAGGGCAAAGAAUUGGCAGUGAUCGUUUUAAAUCAAGUCAGAAUAAUCGAAGCCUUAUUCCCAGUUUGUUAGCUGCGGUUGUAUGAUUUAGAAACACUGAUUUGUUGAUUUAGGAUGUUUGGAUAGACAUAAUUUCAGAGCUGGAAGAAGGACCGCACACCGGUGAAAUAAGGCCCCGCGUGCUUGUUUGCCACUGGUGUGUUUCAUCAAGCCUUGACAACACUGGACUGAGAGAGAGGGCCUUGAGGACAGGAACCUUGACCUUUUUCUUAGUGUUCUUAUUUCUAGCACCUUGCCAAGCAGAUAGUAGUCGAUCAAUAAAAUGUCCAAUCAGUGAAUGAAUAGCAGACGAAAUGAGCAAAGUGCCCAGAGAAGUGACUCUUCCAUAUUUCAAGUGUUUCAUGUGCUACAGAAUCUGUUGAACAAGGUGAAGUUUAAGUGCAUUGUGUGGACUUACAACUUACAAGUAAGUACUGGAACAGUAAUUUCUGUUUUCCCAAAGUAACUAUUAAAACUCAAUCAUAAUAUACAUUAAUAACUAUCAAAUAAUCCUGUGAAAGGAUAUGUAUAUAAAUGAAAGUGAAAUGCCUAAUUCGAAUUUGUAAUAUUUAUUGGACCAGGUCCAGGUGCUCAUGCUGGCAAUCUCAGCACUUUGGGAGACUGAGGCAGGAGGAUUGCUUGAGACCGGGAGUUCCAGGGGAACAUAGGGAGACCUCAUCUCUACAAAAAUUUAAAAAUUAGCUGGGAGUGUGGUGCAUGCCUGUAGUCCCAGCUAUGCCGGAGGCUAAGGCAGGUAGAUAGAUCGCUUAGGCUCAGGAGUUCCAGGUUAUGAUAAGUCAUGAGCCUGCCACUGCACUCCAGCCUGAGUGACAGAACAAGACCCUGUGUUUAAAAAAAAAAAAGGCCGGGCGAGGUGGCUCAUGCCUGUAGUCCUAGCACUUUGGGAGGCUGAGGCCGGCAAAUUGCCUGAGCUCGGGAGUUCGAGACCAGCCUGGGCAACACAGUGAAAUCCCGUCUCUACUAAAAUACAAAAAAUUAGCCGGGCGUGGCGGCAUGCGCCUGCAGUCCCAGCUACUCAGGAGGCUGAGGCAGGAGAAUUGCUUGAACCCGGAAGGCGGAGGCUGCAGUAAGCUGAGAUGGUGCCACUGCACUCCAGCCUGGGCCACAGAGUGAGACUCCAUCUCAAAAAAAAAAUGCAUUAAAUAUUUCCAUUUUUAAAUUUGACUAAAAGAUAUGCAGCAAAACCUUUGGCAUGUUUUACAAGGCAUGGUCUAGCAUCUGCCUGAAAGAAAUUACUGAUUGAGAGAAGAAAUCCUACACAAAUCCUUACACAUAAAUGCAAAUACAGCUUAUUUCUCACCUUCUUUCCUAAUACACCAAAGAGGCUAUUGAUAUGUAUGCAUAAACCCAAAGGGUCUUUUAUAUCUUAAAAACAUGACAACCAGUCUACCUGGAAAUCCAUCCAGGUAAGGAAGACAGAAGAGUUUAAACUCUGGCUAGAUCCAGUAAGUCUCCCACUCCUCAACUUCUGAUCGCAGGACAGGGGUCCGACAGACCAAGGUGGAGUGAAGAAAUGUGAGAGGACCAGGGAAAAGAAGAAGCCCACGAAAUGACAACACAUGUACACCCACCAAAACUUGGGUGAACAACACACCCCCAAAUAGGGCUACAACUUACUGAAAGCACUUACUGUUGAGCCAUUCUUUAUGAGUUUAUUUUGAAUGAGCAGUCUUGAAAAUCAAGGAAUUUGUUUUUUUUAAAAAAGCAAAUAGUCCAGGCACUGUGGCUCAUGCCUGUAAUCCCAGCAUUUUGGGAGGCCGAGGUGGGUGGAUCACCUGAGGUCAGGAGUUCAAGACCAGCCUGGCCAACACAGUGAAACCCCGUCU